AAAUGGCCGACGGAGGCUAUUUAGCCGCGCCCGCCGCCCCUCCCUCGUGACCCGCCCGCGCCGGGCAUCCUGGGACUUGUAGUUUUCUCGAGGCGGCAGAGCCCGUCCAGCCCGGGGCCGGCGGGCUUCCGGGACCGCAAUUCCCGGCAGGGAGCACGCCCUCCAGCGCCGGCGGCCGGGCCGGGAGGGUACCGGGGGCUUCGGCGCCGUCGGGGCAGAGCCCGCGGGGUUUGGGGGGGGGGGGGGGGCCGUGCACCCCGUGCCUCGCUCGCUCUCCCUGACUCCCCUUCUCUCGCCGUGCAGCUGCGGCGCCGAGGGGUCGGUGCUGGGUGCACAGUCUCCAUCACUCACCGUCGCGGCUCGGGGGAAUGAUGAAAACAUACCAGUUGUGCAGGAGGAAUGACUUUGCCCGGCCCUGAGCCACAGUAGAUGUUUCUCUGGGGUCCUCAUAAAGGAGACACUGUGAUGUAGUGAACAGCAUCCCCAGCAGUUUGCCUACCACGAAGACAAUGGUGGAGAGUAAAUUCAGGAAAUUCAUCUUGGUUGACAACAAAAGUCCACUACAUGUAUUUGGAAUAAAUGGAUGAGCUUCCCCUUGGCGUCCAGCCUGAGGUUAAACCUUUCGCUGUGAAGGUGUCUGACACUCGGACGGCACGGUGACCUUGCCAUGUGGAUGUGCUACAGUGGUGAACACGUAUGUGUGUGCAAAUUUUCUAUCCACCGAUGGUGCACAUUUCUUACAGUACUAAAAACUGGUCCUUCAGAAGACCUUUACAAAUGUGUAUUUCUGUAAGUGCUAUUUUAUAGCAGGGAAACUUUGGGUUGCUUUAUGGCAGAGAAAUGAAUCAGCCUAUAAAUUACGUUAACUAAAUUCCUGUUGUGUUAGUCUGCCCACCUAUCCACUUUUAUACCUGAGACCUUGAAAAUUUUCUUAGUUAUUUGCAAGUACUGUGUAGGGAGUUAAAUAUACUAUGAGUAUUUGGUAAGUGUGAGUUGACCUACUUUAUGGCUAAAAAGAGAAAACAGGGGUGCCUG